rnacentral:rRNA from 1 species
AUUGAACGCUGGCGGCAGGCCUAACACAUGCAAGUCGAACGAGUGGCGGACGGGUGAGUAAUGUCUGGGAAACUGCCCGAUGGAGGGGGCUAACUACUGGAAACGGUAGCUAAUACCGCAUACCAUCGGAUGUUCCCAGAUGGGAUUAGCUAGUAGGUGGGGUAACGGCUCACCUAGGCGACGAUCCCUAGCUGGUCUGAGAGGAUGACCAGCCACACUGGAAAGGAGACACGGUCCAGAUUCCAACGGGAGACAGCAGGGGGGAAUAUGGGACAAUGGGCGCAAGCAUGAUGCAGAAAGGCCGCGAGUAUGAAGAAGGAAGUCGGGUUGAAAAGUACUUGCAGCGAGGAGGCGUUACUCGCAGAAGAAGCAUCGGCUAACUACGUGCCAGCAGCCGCGGUAAUAC